rnacentral:lncRNA from 1 species
CUGGCUUUUUCACUUAUUAGCUUUAUGCCCUUGGCAAGCCACUGAAACACUCUGAAGCUCAAUUUCCUUGCUGGUCAGAAGAAGCUGUCCACUCCAUGGGGUGCUGUGCAGGGCGUUAAAGCCCCUGAUAAUGGUAGUGGCUGCUAUAAUUACAAUGAGAUAAACAUUUAUGAAUUGGCUUUGGCUUUCCUCAUUGAACAAAAAUGGAGUCAGAAUUAUCAAAGGGGACAGGCAGAGCCAUUGCUACAUUAAGGAAGUGCUUUGUAAACUGUAAAACAAAUAACAAAUUAAAAAGAGGCUUUGUAUUCUUUCUUUUCUAGGUAUGAUUUUUAUUGCUUAAUAGCAGCAUCAAGAAAACUGAACUUCAAAUUCAAAUUGAAAAGUGAACCUCAAAUCAAGCAGUAUUUCUCAUCAGUAAUGAUGGGGAGGGAUUUGAAAGUCCUGCUUACCAUGUAAAUUUGAACUAUCUGGGAAUGGGACCGCUCUCUGGCAUGCAUCACGCCAGCAUUUUUACCAAAAAUGGAGAUUUCCUUCCACCUCCACUUCUUCCCAGUCAGGUCACAUGAAACAGGGAAACUAUGGGAUCAGGCAAACCUAAAUUUCAUUCGUGAUUCCACUUUAAAACAGGAAACUUAUUAUCUACUCUGUAGGAAAACAUAAAAUAAUUUUUGCAAAGUACACAGUAGCAAAGGAUUGGCUUCUUUCCAUCCUGAAGAUCUGCAGCUUAAAACAACUUCAGUGUGACAUUGUUCCCUGAUACCACACUCAUAAAGUUUUAUUCACACAUAACAGACCUUCCUUCAAAUCCCACCUCCUCCACUAAAUAGCACAUUAUUCAACCUCAGUUUCCUCUUCUAUAAAAUGGGCACAAUAAUAGAACCUAGCUCACAGAGUAGAGGGGAACAGAUGAUAAAGUGCAUUUAAAUGCUUAGCCUGGUGUCUGACACAUAAUAAAAUUUUUGCUAACAGAAUUACAAUAAUACAAAUAACAAUAACAUUUCAGUUCUAUUCGAAUUUGCACAUUAACCAACACUUAGAUGGGUCAGCAGCAAAGGUUUGGGGUAGUUUGCCAUUUUUUCCUUCUUAAAUUUCCUUGGCUGUGCUUCUUUCCCUCCCUUCCCAGGGCAGGUCUGUUUCAAUUCAGCCGCUGGCUGGAACAUCUGGCAGGUUGCCCACUCUUGACGUUUUCUGUUUGUGGAGCCAACAGGGUGGGGAGGUAGGGGGUUUGAUCAUCUUCACCACUGAGACAUUGGAAUCUGUUGAGUUAAACAUUGCUCUACUGUUACCAUCCCCUCCCUUUCCUCCUCCCUCCCUGUGAAUGAAUCUGGAAAGAAUGAACCUGAAGUCUAUCUUGAACAGCUAUAAAACCUUUAUGGUACGUGGGCUGCUCCUCGAGUAGUGGAGCAUUAGCCUCCCUGUUCGUUCCUAGAGUAAACAGAACACGUCAGCAUAUUCCCUAACACGGGGUCAAUGUCUGAGGGAGCGGUGCACUCCGUGCCUGGCACCUGCUAGUGUGAGAGGUCUGCUGGCAGCCACACACCACAAUCAACUUUGAUGACUGCAUGCACUGCAGAGCUCACUACUCCCGAGCCCUUUUAUUCACUAAUAUUUAUCUCAAGAUAGCAAUAUCUCCAAAUCUUCCCUUUUGCUCAGCCCUCUAACCUUACAGAAUCUAUUAUAAAGUAUGUGCAUAUAGCUGAUGGGAUAUAUUACAUAGUACCUAUGUGUCCAAUAUUACAUUUGCACCGAAUUUUCUAAGUUAACUCUAUGAGAGAAACCAAAGUUGAACUUGCACCCUUCCUUGGAGGAGCAUGCUGGCUCUUGAGUCAGGCCUUAGCAUUGCCCUGCUGUCCCGUUUGAUGUCAUCCAUAAAGUGCUGCCUCACUACUGGCUGCAGUCAGUCUCCACACCAUUGGCCUAUGAUUUAUUACAGGUGCCAUCUUUGAAGGAUCCAUGGCCCCAUGCCAUCACUUGACUGCUUACUUAAAAUGUUUAAGUGUGUGAUACUAGGUCUAUAACCUUUUCUGAUCCCACAGAAGGGACAAGGGAGAACAUAAUUCAUUUUAUUGGAGGUCACCAUUAUUCUUCCUUCUCUGUCUUUACCCUGUGCCGGCCAAAUAGUCAUACUUUAUCCACUGUAAGUACUUUUUCCCCAGUCAGUUCUCCAAAGGUUUCUCUUUCCAUAUUGUCCUCCAAACUUUCUCAUGUCUAUUUCACACUCUUGUACUUUAUUUGCGUUCUAUUAUAGAAUCAAUUAGAUCCUAUCCUGGGCAGAACUGUUCAUUGUUUACAAGCAUUAGGUCACCAAAGACCAAUGACACCUAAAAACCAGUGAGCCACAAUGACUGAUACAUCUACUCUUGCUUCAUAACAUAACCUUGAGAGGUCAGUUCAGAGUGUGAGCCCCAUUUUACUAACAAAGAUGAUGAAAUUGAGAGACUCAGUCUCUUAUUUGUGGUGGCCUAAUUAGUCCAGAAGCAAUGUCAUAAUCAGUGCUAAAGUGAACAUAGGAGAGAGAACAUCAGAAAAAAU